UACGAAGGGGGCUAGCGUUGCUCGGAAUCACUGGGCGUAAAGCGCACGUAGGCGGCUUUCUAAGUCGGGGGUGAAAUCCUGGAGCUCAACUCCAGAACUGCCUUCGAUACUGGCGAUCUCGAGUUCGGGAGAGGUGAGUGGAACUGCGAGUGUAGAGGUGAAAUUCGUAGAUAUUCGCAAGAACACCAGUGGCGAAGGCGGCUCACUGGCCCGGUACUGACGCUGAGGUGCGAAAGCGUGGGGAGCAAACAGG
rnacentral:rRNA from 1 species